ensembl:lncRNA
CUUGUUGAACGGGAGGCACAAGGCGAAUAGAAGGCACUAGGACCGGGGAGAGUUCCCUCUCAGGAGCGCAGGCUAUGAGCAUCGCAUCCACAUAGCGGGGCUGUGGAGGAAACCCCCCCAUCGGAUCUGGCAAUACAGGAUACUUGCGAUUAUAUCCAUACAUUUAUUUUCCAGUCUGUGGCGUGGUGCGGUUUAGCGGAGUGCACAGUCCUGCGUUUGGGAUGGUUGGGCACACUCCAGAGAAUUCCUGAUCGAACCUCUUGGCAAAAGCGAGCAGGCAGAUUUAGGGGGGAGUUCAGUAGGCUACGCUCUUCCAUUGCCCCCCGUUCGUUUUGUAAAUGCCAUAUUUGUUGCCUUUUAUUUUGUAGUUGGUCAUAAUAAUUUCUUUUUUUUUUUUUUUUACAAUAGAAACCCCCUUUUCUUCGAUCUCUCAGUCUCUCACCUAAAUGCACGUCUGUUUAUUGAGUGAGCUUGGCACUUCUUCAUCCGUCUGAGAACAGAAACAAGAUCCACAUCUUUCUCUUUGGAUUAAACUUCCGUUUAAACCGCCGCGGCUAUCGUCCGAAUGGGUGAUCUGCUUGAAAUACAGUUCUUCAGUGGCACCCUGACACUCCAUGGAAACAUGUUCUCUCUGGCUGAUCCCCGUCGCUGUGAUGUCCAAAGCUUUCCCCACUGACUGACGGACGCUCGUGGAUCAUUUUGUAAAGCGAUUUGAAGGCUGUUAGGUCAAGGGGAAAAUGAGGCCUCCUAGCCCUCUCCUGAUCCUGCUGUAUGUCACCCUGUCCCGUGCCAUGAAGACAGUCUCCAAGAGAGGCUCAGGCCACUGUAAUCGAUGGGGGCUCAGGGCCGUACCAUUCUGCUCAUCUGAUGAAGUUGCUCAUGGGUGAGAUUCACACUUUGAAGACUGAGAUUGAGUCAUUGAAGGCAGACCAUCAGAAAGAGAAACAUUAUCUGAGGGCAGAGAUACAGGCGACAGCUGAUGCAUUGGUCCAGAGCCAGGUAGUAUUGUCAGAGAGUCACUCCUCAUUAGCGGAGAGUCAGGCGGAGAUGUGUAACCGAAGAGAGAUACCACGAGUAGGCAGAGAAUUCAAACUGGGAUGGAUCCCGAGGCAAAUGUAGCUUACCAGUGAACCUCCGGGUGUUCAUCAUUAAUACUGUGUCUCAGAAGUUUCCGUACAUGACUGAUGCAACCCGAAAAAGCAUUAAAGACAGAGUUAAUGAGUACCUGAGGUCACCGAGAAAGUCUGGACAUGACCUACACUCCCUUAUGUAAGGAAUUAGGCUCUUUCCCAUUACUACAGAAUGUACUGUAUGCUAUGUUUCGUUAAUAAAA